UAUUAUUAGUAUUUAGGUUUUUAUAUCAUUCUGUAGCUUCCCAGUGGUGUUCCUCAUGUAUUAAAAUCCGAACAUUAAAAUUUUGGUCGGAGCAUGUAUUAGCAUCAGAAUG